GUGCAGUGAUGAAACAUUCUGCCAAAUGAUACGUUGUGAUAUCAACAUUUACCGUUCCAAAUUUUCGGAGCAC